GCUACUAUGGCCGAGUGGUUAAGGCGUUGGACUUGAAAUCCAAUGGGAUCUUCCCGCGUAGGUUCGAACCCUACUCGCAGCG
rnacentral:tRNA from 1 species